rnacentral:rRNA from 1 species
UAAGGCGGCCACAGCGGUGAGGUAACACCCGUACCCAUCCCGAACACGGAAGUUAAGCUCACCAGCGUGAACGCAACUACUGGAGUGCGCGAGCCUCUGGAAACACGUUCUCGCCGCCUACC